GACGAACGCUGGCGGCGUGCCUAAUACAUGCAAGUCGAGCGGAAGUUGGAGAGCUUGCUCUUCAACUUUAGCGGCGGACGGGUGAGUAACACGUGGGCAACCUGCCCUGCAGAUCGGGAUAACUCCGGGAAACCGGUGCUAAUACCGAAUAGUUUUCGCCACCUCCUGGUGGCGUACGGAAAGACGGUUUUGGCUGUCGCUGCAGGAUGGGCCCGCGGGGCAUUAGCUAGUUGGUGGGGUAACGGCCCACCAAGGCGACGAUGCGUAGCCGACCUGAGAGGGUGAUCGGCCACACUGGGACUGAGACACGGCCCAGACUCCUACGGGAGGCAGCAGUAGGGAAUCUUCCGCAAUGGACGAAAGUCUGACGGAGCAACGCCGCGUGAGUGACGAAGGUUUUCGGAUCGUAAAACUCUGUUGUGAGGGAAGAACAAGUACCAACUAACUACUGGUACCUUGACGGUACCUCACCAGAAAGCCACGGCUAAUUACGUGCCAGCCGCCGCCGUAA
rnacentral:rRNA from 1 species